rnacentral:rRNA from 1 species
AGUGAACGCUGGCGGUAGGCCUAACACAUGCAAGUCGAACGGCAGCACAGUAAGAGCUUGCUCUUACGGGUGGCGAGUGGCGGACGGGUGAGGAAUACAUCGGAAUCUACUUUUUCGUGGGGGAUAACGUAGGGAAACUUACGCUAAUACCGCAUACGACCUACGGGUGAAAGCAGGGGAUCUUCGGACCUUGCGCGAUUGAAUGAGCCGAUGUCGGAUUAGCUAGUUGGCGGGGUAACGGCCCACCAAGGCGACGAUCCGUAGCUGGUCUGAGAGGAUGAUCAGCCACACUGGAACUGCGACACGGUCCAGACUCCUACGGGAGGCAGCAGUGGGGAAUAUUGGACAAUGGGCGCAAGCCUGAUCCAGCCAUACCGCGUGGGUGAAGAAGGCCUUCGGGUUGUAAAGCCCUUUUGUUGGGAAAGAAAAGCAGCAGGUUAAUACCCCGCUGUUCUGACGGUACCCAAAGAAUAAGCACCGGCUAACUUCGUG